rnacentral:misc_RNA from 1 species
GCCGCACCAACUUCUUGCCAGUUGUCCAACCUGUCAUCAACAACUGUUGGUACAACUUGAUCGCUUGAAGUUAAAACAUCUGCAUCAGGAUAACGAGCAAGAUAUGGCAGNUUCUUCAACCAAACCAUGUCCGUGUCACACAUGAGUAGCUCAUAGCCAAAAGGGAGGAUAGCAUCUAUCAGAAUAACUUUUUCUCUCCCCAUUUUGUGAAAGGUAGGUGAGCCCCAGCCAACAUCUGCUGUACUCAUGCGACUUCCCAUGUCAAAAACUGGAACACCUUUCCAGUACAAAGCCUCUAAUAGCUUGGUAUCCAUAGCA